UGUGCCCGAUCCUUCUAUGAGCACCCACUACAUGGUACGGGUCUUUGCUUUAUUCAGAAUGUCAGACUCCAUUUCUUCGUCUAACACGAUCCUUUCUCUCAUUUUCUCGCGUUCUCUCUGCCAUUGCUCAGGUGAAAUUCAAUUGCAAAAGAAGAUUUCGGAUCAUUGUUUGUCUGUUGGCAUCGUAAAUUGCAGUGCAAUGGGUUUUGAUUUUGAAGCUUAAACUUCACCUUAGAUAUUUUUAUAGUUGAAGUUAAGGAUAAGAAUGGAUAGUAACAAAGAUGAGGCCUUAAGAUGUGUUGGUAUUGCCAAGGAGGCAGUUGUGUCGGGCAAUAAGCAGAGAGCGCUUAAAUUUAUCGGAAUUGCACAUCGCCUUAAUAGUGAACUACACGUUGAAGAUCUUUUGGCUGCUUGUGAAACUCUUAAUGCCUCAACUCCUGAUCCCUCUAGUGAGGCUGACGAUGUUUUGAGCGAGAAACAUGUCAAUGGUCAUGUCAAAUUAGAUGAGGUUUCAGAUGGGGAGAGGAACUAUACUGAAGAACACGUGCAUUUGGUUACACAUAUUAAGAGCGAGAAGGAGUAAUAUGCAAUUCUUGGUUUAGAGAAGGGUUGUUCAGUUGAGGAGAUAAGAAAGGCAUACCGCAAGCUUUCUUUGAAAAUUCAUCCUGAUAAAAACAAGGCUCCGGGUUCUGAAGAGGCAUUUAAGAAAGUAUCCAAGGCAUUUAAGUGUUUGAGUGAAGAUGAUUCAAGGAGGCAGUAUGAUGAGACGGGUUUGGUUGAAGAAUUCGAGUUUGAUCAGCAGUAUAAUCUUAGACGUCGGAGGAGAAGAAUGGAGCGUGAGUAUUUUGAAGAUGAUUUUGAUGAUGAAGAGAUUAUAAGGGCAUUCUUUGGUCAGUCUGAAAUGUUUAGGACAGCUUAUGCCUACUGGACAAGGACCAACGUCCGUCAGCAGAGAGAGGAUUUAGGUUCCUCUGGGCCUAACUUAAUUCUCCUCUUUCAAUUGUUACCAUUUUUGAUCAUUUUUUUACUUGCUUAUCUUCCUUUCUCGGAGCCUGAGUAUACUUUGCAGAAAAACUACUCUUAUCAGUUUGAGAAGGUGACAGACAAAUAUGGGGUAGAGUUUUUCGUUAAGUCGGCACAAUUUGAUAAGAAUUAUCCUCUUGGUAGUCCUGCUCGAGAAAAAAUUGAAGACCGUGCUAUCAGAGAUUACAAAAAUACACUUGAACGUUACUGUCGUAUAAAACUCCAGAGGCGACAAUGGAACAGGAACUACCCAACACCUCACUGUGACAGGCUUCAAAAUUUUGGAAUAGCUAAUUGAGAUUGUAUAGGGUCUGAGUUCAAUUCCCGGGAAUUAAUGCGUUGCCCGAAUUGUCGGGAGAUUGAAGACGGAAACUGGCUGUUUCCAGACGGUGAGGGACUUGAUGAACAGCAUGAUGAUGAGGAAGAGAGUGAGGAGGAAGAUGAGCCUGAACCGUUGCCUGCUGAACAGCCAGUGGAGUUAUGCUUUGGUCCACCUGUUGAAGUGGAAACUCAAGUUGCUAGGAAUGUAAGGUAACCUCAAAAUCAUUUCUUAUACAUGCUUAUGUGUCUUACGAGCAAUAAUCUUUUUUCCAAACAGCACAUAUAAUUAAAUGAUUUAACUCUUCUAUGCUUUCCAAAUAAGAUUCCAGUUAGAGUAAUAGUAUAUACUUGCAAACAUCAAACUUACGUUUUAAUGUUGUGAUCCAUAUCUGCCAUAUUACCAGCAAUAUGCAUAACUUAUGAAACAAAAGUAAAAGUCUGAUUGAAACAAAUUAGUGAAAGAUCAAUCUAACUUAUUCUUUAUUUUAUCCAUAUUAAUUUAUAUGCGGGUUGCUCUAGUGGUGAGCACCCUCCACUUCCAACCAAGAGAUUGUGAGUUCGAGUCAC